AUUCCAGCUCCAAUAGCGUAUAUUAAAGUUGUUGCAGUUAAAAAGCUCGUAGUUGAACUUCUUGGCAUCCUUUAAGCUGGCUUCGGUCGUUUCAAGGGUGUCAAUCCGCUAGGGAACUACAUUCGCACUUCACUGUGCGGUGUAAGGAACUGGCAUUUUACUUAGAAAAAAUUAGAGUGUUCAAGGCAGGCUAUCGCCCUGAAUACACAAGCUUGGAAUAAUGAAAUAGGACUAUUUCCAUUUUAUUGGUUUGGAUUUAGUAAUGAUUAAUAGGGACAGUUGGGGGCAUUUGUAUUUAAUAGUCAGAGGCGAAAUUCUUGGAUUUAUUAAAGACAAACUUAUGCGAAAGCAUUUGCCAAGGAUGUUUUCAUUA
rnacentral:rRNA from 1 species